AAAACCCUAAUCCUCCGCAUCGAGUUACCAACUUUGCGCCUCUAUCUUCCUUCUAUGGCUAAGGUGCUUCGAUCUCAAAAUCCCGCGGCUUGACUCGCUUUCCCCUAUCCAGAGGUUCGCCGCUCACUUCGUCCUUCACGCCUGGCUUAACUACAGGAUUUGUGUGUUGGGCUUCUUAGACGCGCUACAUAUAUAACUUAAAGGCUUUGAUCAUUAAGUCCAUGAUGUUUCCUUCCAACAUGUUGAUAACCAUGCUAAUUGAAGGUCUAUUUUCUGGCUUUAUCUGUAUGCACCAUAAACCCACUAUCAUCAUCUUUUUUGCAAUUUCUUUAGUCUUAGGAUUAGCAUCAGUCUCAGGACUAACAAGACUGGUAUCAGGAGUGACCAAAUCAUAGUACUUAUCAAAAUUAUCAUAAACCCAGUCUGGUGUUAGACUGUGUUUAUGACAAUUUUAUGUGCAUAUGCAAUUUGUAUCAUCUUCAGGAACUGGCAAAUGGUCAAAACAAGUUUAAUAAUAAGGAGCACACAUAUAACUUGAUAUCUGAAUUGCUUCCCUUGCUGAAACAUAUCUAUCAGAACCAAUUAAAUGAACUGGAAGUAAAGCAAGGAGAUCAAGGUAAGCUUCAAAACAAUUACCUAGUUUCUUCCUCCAAUUAGAUAUCCUCUUGAUCGAUCUAUCAUCCAGAAGGUGGUUUUUCUGGUGUACUUCUUCGAGUAUAUGAGCCUCACAAUGAGCUUGUUGACUGGUAUGUCUUCACAUCUGUAACACCUAUGAGAAUUUCAUAAUUUGCUAUGUUUCUGAAAUCAUGGACAUAAUAACUGAAUAAUGUGUCCUGACCCUGUUUCUUAAAUGGUCAUUUGUAAACUUGUGCCUCUAUUUUGCUUUAGCAAGUUCUAAUUUUUAGGUCAUAUUCUGUUCUUUGUUAUCGUCUCAUCAUGCAUUAAAAUGUUCACUUGAUUGAUAUUGUUUUCUUUUCUUGUUUCCCCCUUGGAACCAGUAAUUAUUGCAGGACUUCACUAGUGGAUUUUCACAGAAGUUGCUCAAAUUGCUCUUACAAACUUUGCUUAGAUUGUUACGGAAAGAUAGUAAAGGGAUCUGCUUCUCAGACACCUGCAAUUGAUUCCUCCAAGGCUGGUAGGAGACAGAGGGCAAAGAAGUAUGUCAUCAGAGAAAUUGUUGGGAAAAGACGGAGACGUUCCACAGUUUACAAAUCUCAAGUAUUCCAGAGUUGAAAUUGAUGAAGUACGGUUUGAGUGGGUUGAAUGAAUGCUAGAUUACAUUUGAAGUGCGGUUCUACCUUGAUAUGUUGUUAAAAGAAUGUUCUACCUUGAUUCUGAUAUCUAUUAGCUUUUGAUGUAAAAAGAAUGUUUGUGUAUUUUAUGGAUACUGUUGU